GGGCAGUUGUGGCUUAGUGGGUCAAGAGAUUGACUAUUGAUCAAAAGGUCACUGGUUCGAUACCAAAUUUGGUCA